GCCGGUGUCUUAUGGGGUGUCUUAUAUCGGCUGCUGUUUGGUUCAAUUUUUUCAAAAAAGAAUUAUACAAACCAAUUAUUUGUAAAAUUUUCGAUUUGGCUUGGUUUCUUGGGCUUUACGUUAAUUUAAAAACCGACAACUCUAGUGCCAUCGCCUCCCCAUAAGACCCCUGAUUCCACCUUCACCUCCGCCACCUGCACCGCUGUUGAUGCCAACCCAGCCCCCGCGCUGCCGUUGACGCCGCCCCGGCUCCUACCACCCGCGACGCCACAGAUGCCAAUCCAGCCCCCGCGCCGGCGUUGACUACGCUGGCCCCGGCCCCUGCCAUUGUCUUUAUUGUUGCUUAGGAGAGCCUUGCAAGUUUGUUUGAAGGUACACUUAGCAUUCCGAAAAUCGCACAAAGGUAUGUCUUAUGUUGGACCUGUUACUACUACGGAUUAUCUUAUAUUAUAUCAGCCCAACAAAAGUAAAUAUACAUAGCUGUUAGCCAUAUUUUUCAGCUUAGGGACCAUUAUAAGAGUGCUAAACUUGCUUCCAAACUGAAUUCCUCAUGGAAUUAACAAAAGUGGUCUUUGGGUAUUAUUGUUAUUUAUUAUAAUAUGAAUUAUUAAUCACAUUAGAAAGACCAAAUUAAAUAAAAAAACUAACUAUAAAAGUCAUAUUAGAGUCAUAAGUAGUGGAAAAUUGUAGUCAAAGAGUACUAAAAAUAUCUACUGGAAAAGGGUAUUUUUCUCUCUAAUUUGUUUUCUAUUUUUCCUCUUUCAAAAUAGUAGAUUAGGUAUUUUCUUUGACUGGAAUGUGGAAGAAAGUACAUCUUUUUGUGGUUAUGUUCUUUCAUUCUAACAAAUGCCCUCGUUUUCUUUCCUUGUUUGAGAUCAAUUAAUUGUUCUUGUUUAAAACUAUUGCUUCUGUUGUUACUCAAAUCUUUCUAAAUUCGUUGUUUGUAUUUGCACAAUUUUCCUGAUGUGUUGCUGCAUCCAUUGAUGAGUUCUGUGUUCUUCAUUGCAGUUUUGGAAGGUAGACCCUUGUUAGAGGUUAUGUUUUCUCCUCUUUUGCCUAGUUAGUUUUGCUCAAAUAUUUUGGCAAAUAUUAAUGGGAUCCAUGUAAUCACAUAAAUUCUCAACAUGGUUGUUCCUGGAAUCAAAGGACUCAUAUAUAGUUCUUUAAAAUUGGGUAAUUUAAUAUCAUUCUUAAUUGAGUUUGCCUCUUUAUUAAUUCUUUUUCUUCCAAUUUUCCAUUUCUGGUUUUGUUGACUAAAUUUUACAUAUCAUCUGAUCAUGUGGUUUUCUUACCUAACCUGGUUGAAGGUUUACUUCUCGUUUUGUAUUGUUGAUUGAUGACUAUUCAUGAUUAAAUGAGUUUGAUGCCAUCUAGUAGAGUAAUUUUUCUUCUGAUGUCACUUUACUUGUUAGUUAUUCAAAUUUAAUCAAAGCAAUUUGUUUGAAUGCAUUUUUUUGUUCUUGAAAUUGCUUACCUCAUUCUUCCAUCAAUUGAUUAGGAUUUGGAUCCUCUAAAGUUUGAAUUUCACUUUAGAGAGUAAAGUGUGAUCUCUUACCCUUGAAUAAUUUCUCUUUCAUAUUUAUUCUUGGUCCCACCUAUGAAAUCAAUGGUGAGAAAUCACACUUUACUCUCUAAAGUGAAAUUCAAACUUUAGAGGAUCCAAAUCCAAUUGAUUAUUACUUCACAUGUUUAUAUCAUAUAUAUGUAUCAUUUGCAUUUUUUUUUCUUGGGUAUCAGAUUUAGGUAUUAUCGAUAGGUGAGUCAUGUGAUCAUUGACAUACUUAUAAGAUACGAGUGCGUUUGUUUCACUCUUUCUUUUAUAUUAUAACCCAUUAUUUGCAGGCCUAUGAUAAACAGAUUCAGAGAUCAAUUAGCUGUGGGAGAAGUUUAUAAGAUGAUUUUUUUUCUUUUUUUUUUCCGUCAUGAAUCAUGGCUCUUAUAGGGUAACUAGCAUGAUUUCAUGUUGAUUUUCCAGUUUAAGACCACUGGUAACCCCUGCAACUUCUGAUUUUAUACCGAAACUUGGAUUGAAAAUUACUCCAUUUGUUGAGUUUUAACAAAUUACUCAGGAUUCUGAUUACUUAGUGGGUAUGCUUUAUCCUUUUUCCCCUAAUGUUUUCUUUAUUUGUUUCUCUCGGAUUUCUGUUAAUAUUUCUUAUACUUUUGUUUCUUGAAUAUCAUUUUUUAAUAGCUGUUAUGGGUUUCCUUAUAUCAGAUGUUGAGGAACAAGAGAGUUUUGAGGUUUAAAGUUUAUAUUUUCUUUCCUUAUCUAAAUGUCUAAAUUAUUUGCUGUUUUGGGUUGAGGAUUCAGUGUGCUGAGUAUGUGGAUCAACUUAAUGUAUUUGAUAUCAUUUAAUGAGACAUUUGAGAGAGCACUUACUUUCCUGUUCAUCUCUGUGGUCCUAUGCAAUGCUUGCACCGCAAAUUUCGUCAGCUUUUUGGUUUAUUUUUUGUCUAAGGUAACAGUUUCAGGAUUCAACAUUUUGAUGUGCUGGUGAAAUACUGGUCCCAUUUUAUUUUGUUGCCUUUUAUAUUCAAUGAGAAUCUCCCUAUUGCCUCUACAGAAGGGAUCUUAAAACUUAAAGUCUAUUUUUUGUACGGUUUAGUUUAAAGUGUAUUUGUGCUAAUUUUUCAAAAUUUUUUUACUCCAAAGCCACCCUAAAUUCAGCAAGAAGCCUCCUCUGCUUCUCUGACUGUGUGUUGCCACUUGUCACAAGAUCAGUUCACGACUCUCUUUCAAGACACUGUUUCACCCUUUGAGAUCGACCUCAGCAUCAAAUUCCAAGAAACCAACAAAUAGCUCCAAUCGCCACCCACAUCAUCCCAAGAGUGUCAAGCACUUCCAAGUUCUGCAAUCUCCAAACUGCGCCACCAUUGACUUGUUAAUAAACUUCGCCCAGAUGCUGCGAGAUAAUAACAACUUGAAAUGGAAUUGUCCUUAUUCCCAUUCUGAUGGAUCAUCAUUAGCUGGAUAUCUUGCUGAUGGGUAUUGGGAGGCUCAAUCCUUGCUUCAAGAUUGCGGAUGG